AUUUCUCCAAAAUGUUUUUAAUUUGGGACAGAACCACCAUACAUGGGACAUAUUUCCAAUAGUUCCACAUUCUCUCCAACAUUUAUCAAGUAUAUUUGGGUUUAUGUUAUGUAGUUUUGCUGGAACUAAAUACCAUUUAUAUAUGAGUUUAAAAUGGUUUUCAAAAUGAUUUGUCCAUUGUGUUAUACCUUUAAAAUUUAGGGAAAAACUGAGCCAAUCAUCUAAAUCAUAUUGAGUGCCUAAUUCUGACUCCCAUGAUAACAUGUAAUUUAAUUUAGUGUUGGGUCUCGUAGAAAUGCUUGCUUUACUGUUUGGAUCAAGG